UACCAGCACCCCGAGUGGUCGGGACGAUUAUUGGGCCUAAAGCAUCCGUAGCCGGCCUUACAAGUCCCCGUUAAAUCCAACUGCUUAACAGAUGGCUGCGGAGGAUACUAUAAGACUAGGAGGCAGGAGAGGCAAGCGGUACGUCAGUGGGUAGGGGUAAAAUCCGUUGAUCCAUUGAAGACCACCAGUGGCGAAGGCGG
rnacentral:rRNA from 1 species